GAGAAGGGCCGAUCUGGAUGUGCUCGUUAGUCAUAGACGAAUCACACUUGAAAGGUCAUAUGACUAGAGACACAUUCAGCUUGGCCUGGAUCUCA
rnacentral:pre_miRNA from 1 species